rnacentral:rRNA from 1 species
CCUACGGGAGGCAGCAGUGGGGAAUAUUGCACAAUGGGCGAAAGCCUGAUGCAGCGACGCCGCGUGAGGGAUGACGGCCUUCGGGUUGUAAACCUCUUUCAGCAGGGACGAAGCGUGAGUGACGGUACCUGCAGAAGAAGCACCGGCUAACUACGUGCCAGCAGCCGCGGUAAUACGUAGGGUGCGAGCGUUGUCCGGAAUUACUGGGCGUAAAGAGUUCGUAGGCGGUUUGUCGCGUCGUUUGUGAAAACCCGGGGCUCAACUUCGGGCUUGCAGGCGAUACGGGCAGACUUGAGUGUUUCAGGGGAGACUGGAAUUCCUGGUGUAGCGGUGAAAUGCGCAGAUAUCAGGAGGAACACCGGUGGCGAAGGCGGGUCUCUGGGAACAACUGACGCUGAGGACGAAAGCGUGGGUAGCAAACAGGAUUAGAUACCCUGGUAGUCCACGCCGUAAACGGUGGGCGCUAGGUGUGGGUUCCUUCCACGGGAGUCUGUGCGUACGCUACGCAUAGUCGCCCGCCGUCGGGUAGGUACGGCCGGCGACGGACGUAAACGUUAAACGGUAAAGUUAGACGGCGUGUAAGACGUGUUCCGACGGACGACGACGAGGGAGGAGG